rnacentral:rRNA from 1 species
CCUACGGGGGGCUGCAGUCGAGAAUUUUUGACAAUGGUGGAAACCCUGAUCGAGCGACGCCGCGUGGAGGAUGAAGGUCUUCGGAUUGUAAACUCCUGUCAUUGGGGAACAAUGCGUGACGGUUAACUGCCGCCGCGUUGAUAGUACUCGAAGAGGAAGAGACGGCUAACUCUGUGCCAGCAGCCGCGGUAAUACAGAGGUCUCAAGCGUUGUUCGGAUUCAUUGGGCGUAAAGGGUGCGUAGGCGGCGCGGUAAGUCGGGUGUGAAAUCUCGGGGCUUAACUCCGAAACUGCAUUCGAUACUGCCGUGCUUGAGGACUGGAGAGGAGACUGGAAUUUACGGUGUAGCGGUGAAAUGCGUAGAUAUCGUAAGGAAGACCAGUGGCGAAGGCGGGUCUCUGGACAGUUCCUGACGCUGAGGCACGAAGGUCAGGGGAGCAA